rnacentral:lncRNA from 1 species
GCUCUUUCUCCGCAGCUGUUGACUUGGUGAUUUGCAUUUUCACCAGGAGGUGUUUAGAUGUGUGUGUUUAGGGAGUCAGGGAGGCUUUCGGGGCACAGCGCCCAUGCCUGUCUCAGACACCAUCCUGUGAGCCCUCUAUUCCCCAGUAAACACCUGCUCACCAUCGCUCCUUCUCCUUUUCCUCCUGCGACUCUCGGGGACACACUGGGCUUCCUCAGUCCUUCGAGUUUCUUAACGUUUUUCAUUCACAUUUUUGGUCUUUUUGUCCUGCCUCAACGGGAAAUUUCGACGACACCACUUUCCAUUUUCUUGAGUUGUGUCUGACUGGCAGUUGGUUUUAAAUUCCACCCAUCUGUGUUCUUUCACGAUGCUCCUUUUUAAUCCUGAGAGUCCUUGUUCCGCCACCACGUUCCCCCUGGCUCUCCCCUGGACUCUGCUCUGCUGUGUGAAUUCCGAGCUGGAGCCUCCCAGUCCCGCCAGGCCUCCACCCUGCAUUUCUCCGCUUCCCUUGACUCACAGGCGAGGAUUGUUGACAAACACAUUGCUGAUGAUGGGAGAAGAUGGAUGUAACCCGGGGGGUCCUACAGCGGGGAGCUGGUUAAGGAAUCCACCGACCUCAGCUGCAGAGCGCCCCUUCCAGACUCGCCGUCGCCUUUCGAUAGAGGGUGCCACCGGAUGGAGGCAACACGGAAGGAGAGACAAGCCUUACAGAGACAACGUCCAGCGCCAGGCAGGACGCCGGAGGAAAGAGCCUGUAGGUGGUGCUGGUGGGAGAAGGAAUGGUACAAGCGCGGCGGAAAACCUGUGGCAGUUACCCAGUGACAUUGACACACGUGCUCUCCGAUUCUGCCAAAUCACGGGGAGCACAGCCCACAGAAAGGCCUGCACACCCCUGAAAGAUGCUCACAGGGACGCCACGGCCCUGCUCCUCCUCACGAGGGGAGAGGGAAAUGGCUGUAAUACCCGUCUAUGGUAG